ACAGAGAGCUUGCUCUCGGGUGACGAGUGGCGGACGGGUGAGUAAUGUCUGGGAAACUGCCUGAUGGAGGGGGAUAACUACUGGAAACGGUAGCUAAUACCGCAUAACGUCGCAAGACCAAAGAGGGGGACCUUCGGGCCUCUUGCCAUCAGAUGUGCCCAGAUGGGAUUAGCUAGUAGGUGGGGUAACGGCUCACCUAGGCGAGGAUCCCUAGCUGGUCUGAGAGGAUGACCAGCCACACUGGAACUGAGACACGGUCCAGACUCCUACGGGAGGCAGCAGUGGGGAAUAUUGCACAAUGGGCGCAAGCCUGAUGCAGCCAUGCCGCGUGUAUGAAGAAGGCCUUCGGGUUGUAAAGUACUUUCAGCGGGGAGGAAGGUGUUGUGGUUAAUAACCGCAGCAAUUGACGUUACCCGCAGAAGAAGCACCGGCUAACUCCGUGCCAGCAGCCGCGGUAAUACGGAGGGUGCAAGCGUUAAUCGGAAUUACUGGGCGUAAAGCGCACGCAGGCUCUGUCAAGUCGGAUGUGAAAUCCCCGGGCUCAACCUGGGAACUGCAUUCGAAACUGGCAGGCUGGAGUCUCGUAGAGGGAGGUAGAAUUCCAGGUGUAGCGGUGAAAUGCGUAGAGAUCUGGAGGAAUACCGGUGGCGAAGGCGGCCUCCUGGACGAAGACUGACGCUCAGGUGCGAAAGCGUGGGGAGCAAACAGGAUUAGAUACCCGGGUAGUCCACGCUGUAAACGAUGUCGAUUUGG
rnacentral:rRNA from 1 species